AAUGGGGAAUCCGAAAACCAUAUUUAGAGUAGGAA
rfam:Fluviicola taffensis DSM 16823, complete genome.